rnacentral:misc_RNA from 1 species
UUGGUUAGAGCGCGCGCUUGAUAAGCGUGAGGUCGGAAGUUCAAGUCUUCCCAGGCCCACCACACUCAUCGAGUGAGCAUUCGUCUUCUGGUUACGGGGCCAUAGCUCAGCUGGGAGAGCGCGUGCUUUGCAAGCAUGAGGUCGUCGGUUCGAUCCCGUCUGGCUCCACCAGAUGGUUUGAUCACCGACUACUCAUACCGUCGUCCGCGAAACAUCACUUCGCACUUACUAGUCCGGAUGGACAGUAAGCUGCGUGAUUUCUGACAUCGUAAAGAGGAGAUCGAUCCGAGUUGGAUCGGGCAACAAGUAAUUGUUGCGCGAUACUUCAUUAUCUCCGGAUCAUUUCGGCGCUCGUGCGUCUUCCAGGGUAGCUCACAAGGCUGCGUCUGAAGGACACGCGAGUUGUAAAUGAUCCUUUUAGCGAAGCUUGACCGCCUCGCUAUCGGAACGAUCUUACGAAGCAAGCUGGUCUUUCUAAUCAUUGUCCGGCUGCAGAUAGCGUUCAUCGAGGGCGCGUGCCUUAGAGACUUAGGUUUCUUGGCAAUUCUGCAGACAACAUUCUGCCGAGUGUGUGGACAUUGAUAAUGAGAGCAAUCAAGUGCCUUAAGGGUGUUCGGUGGAUGCCUUGGCGCUGAGAGGCGAUGAAGGACGUGCUACGCUGCGAUAAGCCGUGGGGAGCUGCGAAGAAGCUUUGAUCCAUGGAUUUCCGAAU